GAGCAUUUAGAUCUGCAAUGGAAAUUUAACCAUUGACUUCUGUGGACUAGAGAUAAACCAAUGGAUACAACGAAAAGGAGAAAGUGCCUAGAAAAUGCAGCAGGCCAAAAGAUCAUGUUUAACACUGAUGUACACAGAAAUAAGUGAGGUAUUCCAAGAUGCUUCUCUACAUGCCCCGGGCUCUCUGUGGAUUUCUAGUCUUCUCCAUGGGCACUGUCAAUGUAAAAACAUCACCCUGUUCACAUGUGUACAAAUAAAAUAUCUAGUUG